rnacentral:lncRNA from 1 species
GUAAGAUCAUAGACUAGAAAGUCUUCCGGGAAGGGAAAAUGGAAUAUAUAUAUAUAUAUUUAUAAAACUUUGUCUAUAUAUAGCAAACUUGUCUUCAUUUUCUCCAUUUUAACAACAUAAUACAAAGCGAGUAAAGAGAGAAUAGAGAGAGGGAAUACAACUGGUGCAGUAGAGCAAAAAGCUAGCGAACAUCCAAGAAGCAAACAAGAAGAUAAAAAGCAAAACAAGCACUCCAUAGGGUAAACUCUACAACUUUUCUAAAUUCAACUUUUCUUAUGUAAGGACCUUGAUCUAUGUAAAUAAACAUGGAUCACACUUGUUUAAACCUAAAUAUGAUGGAUCUUUGUGGUAGAUAUCAUAGAUUAAGAAAAAAGUGUGAAGGAACAAAGAAUGAACUAAGGAACUUAAGCUAGUUUAGGUUAAAAACCUAAAUUUUGGGAUUAAAAUUGUAAAACUAUAACUUUAAGCAUAUAAUAAAAUUUUGAGUGAAGCUUGUUGUGUAUGGUAGAUCUAUGAGUUAAUGAAGUUCUUUGAAUGUUUGAGACUCAAAUCCUAUAUAGAUUAUUUUUGGUGAUUUUUCUACCAAAGCAGGACAGGGCUGAAACCUACUGACUUAAUUUUUAUGUGACUGUUUCCGGUAUUAAACAUACAUGGUGUAUUAUGGAAUAAAUUCUGGAAUUGUGAGGUUUGAUACAUGGUGGUAUAAAUUGUAUUCUUUCCGAAGAUGAACAAAAAUGGACUUGUGAUGAAGGAGAUAUAACCUAAAUAAAAUUGAAAUUUGUAACAUUAAAACUACCAUAACUUGAGUUCUAGAACUCAUUUUGGGAUGAAAUUUAAAGUGAAGUUACUCAAUCAUAUAGAGUACCUAUUGUCCAGGUUUUAAAAUUUUUGGAAGAAUUUUUAAAUUAUAAUAAAUAUUAUAAUUUUGGACAAAAACAACCCCUAAAUAAAAUACUAAAAGAAAAGGAAAAAUCUGAAAAUAUCAAAGUAGGUCCAUAAUAUAGUUAACUAAGUGGGGCCUGAAAGAUAAAAAAUAAUAAAUUGAUUAAGGAAAUUUAAUGGAGAAAAUAGGGUUAAGAAAAAUAAAUAAAAAUUAAUUAAAGUAAAAUUGAAAAAUAUGUAUUAUAAUUUUAUUGGUUAAAACGCGUUAAUAUGGGACAUGUGAACUUAAGUAAAUGUUAAUUAGACCUUAACAUAGUGAGGUAAUAAAAAUUGGUAUAACAGGAUGCUCGGAAACGAGUUUACGUUACACGGAAAUAUCGAAACGGUUGUACAAAUAGUUACCAACGAUAACUAUUAAUAAUAAUAGUUAAGUUAUUUAAAUAAAUCAUUUUGGAUAUUGUAGGUUGUCAUUCGAAGGACUUUAGUAACGUAGACGAGUGAAAUACACACUUAAAAUACAAGUUCUCGUACUUGCGUGCAUUUAUAAUUGUUCAAUUUAUCGAACUGUAUUAAUUCAGUAAAGUUCUUGUUUAUUUCAUUAACUGUUUUUGAUAAGUGAGUUUAUGCCAAUUGUUUCAGCAAACUAAGUGAUGUUAUUCUUUAAAUUAUUUAAUUUAUUGAAUAUCCUCUUAAGAUGGUUAAUUUAAAUCCAUUCUAAAUUACGUUGGUGCAAAUUUUGAUGUUAAAACUGAGAACAACCACCCUAGAAAUAGGGGAUUUUGUGUUAUGAUAAGUUAAUCGAUAUAUAUUGUCAAAAUACAGUAUAAAGAUGAUAUUGCGCAUAACAUGGGUGUCGUUGGGUUCAUCCCCUAAUGAUACUUUAUAGAGAAUUCAGUCAAUGUGACUAUUGAACAAAUUUAGAGAAUUCUCCAUCCAAGAUUGUUGAACAAAUGUUAUUUAGUUCAUGGUUUUUUUAAUGGCCACUCAAUUUUGAAAUCAUAUGAACCUUGAGAUUACAAGUUCUUUUCUUGUGAAAAUGUGUUUGAAUUCUUAUUUGUUCUUUAGAAUGUUAUUCAGUGAAUGUCAAAUAUAUUAUCUUUUAAUUGUAUUCUUCAUACAUGUUAAACAAUCUAGUUGCCCACUCUUAUGAAUUUGAUAUUUUUCAACUAAAGCGGAAAACUCUGUAGGUUCGGGGAAAGAUAAAGCAAAAGAAAAAACGAAGGAAUAAAUAAUGUAUUGUUGUAAUAGAAUAUUUUAUAUUAAAUAAUGUAACUUAAUUUGUAAUAGUUUAUUACAGCUGUAUUAAUUUUGAAUAAAUUUGUAAUAGUAACCGUUGAAAGAUAUGUAUAAUUACAAGAUUUAUUAUAUUUUCAAAAGUAAAAUGAACAGCAUUAACUUUGAAUUGGAAAAUAUCUCGUAUUGACUUUGAAAGUCUAUGAUCUUAUAUUUUGGAACGAAAGGAGAAAGUACUAUAAAUAUUAAAGAGGAUAGACGGAAUUGUGUAUUCAGGACAAGUUAUAUCUUUAUUUCACAGUAAAUAAUGUACAAAAUAGAAAUCACCCAUCAGUUAGAACUCUAGUUAGAAAACUUAAUUGCAGGCAUAGAAAUCACAAAACCAUACCCAGAGCAACAGAUCCCAGGUUGCAAGAUGAUACAAGGUCCCAGAAUUGGCGCUUCAAAAUCCAUCCCGCUUUCUCGGGGAAAAAAUCACAUAUUUUGAAGCCUUGAGAAUGAUAUAUAUUUCUGUUUUCUUGAUUAGUUAUCUACAGCAAUUCGUCAAUCCUUCCCACAACACCUUCAUAACCAAACAAGAACAAUGAGCUAAUCACAUAAACAAACAUCUAUUCCGACUCCAUGGAUUUUUCAGUUGUGACGUUUAAACCAAAAAUAGAAUACUCUUUCCAAAAUAUAAGAUUAUUAUUGUCUUUUUAAAGUCAACUUCAGACAUUUUCAAAUUCAAAAUUUGACAUGAAUAUUUUAAAUUUUAGUUAAUGCGUUGAUGUACUACUCAUUGUAAGAUUUAUAAUUUCAUAAUUUUAAUAAAUCAAUUCAAUUUUGAGUUUGAAAAUGUCUCAAAUUGACUUUCAAAGGUCAACAAUAAUUUUAUAAUUUGGACCAGAGGGAGUACUAUAUAUUUAUUGAUGAAUACAAAGGCCCCAAAACCGAGUAUUUAAUGCAUCAACAAAAUUAUGGAAGCAUAAUAAAGAGAAGGAAAUAGGAUAAGCUAAGAAUCUUAUGCACAAUAUUGAACCCACCGAGCACUAGAGAGGUCAAAAUUUUACUGAAGAGUUCACAUAUUAAAGCUCUUGAAUCAGAGGAAUUUUGUAGCCAGCCACAACUUAUAGGGUAUUCUAAGAACAAAACUUUACCGAAUCAAGAAUAGAACCAAACAAAGAUCUGAUAUGCCAACCUAAUAACAGAUCUCGACUGUUAAUAAUACCCAAGAAAUAUAUUAUAUACUCGUGUUUCAAAAUAUUUGAAGAUGAGAAAGAGUAUCUUAUAUAAAAAUAUAAGCAAGUGUAAAAAAACUGAACAGCUUUAGAUUUACUCAACGAAAACAUAGAACCAGACCAUCAAAACUAAAUUUUGAUAAAAGGCACAAAGUAGACAACAGCUGCAAAUUGUAUCCUUUUUUCAAUGUUUUUGUCUUUAAUUCUUGCAUUUUAAUGCAUCAUAAAAACAUAGUAAUUACAUAGCCUAGUCUUCUAGGCCUUUACACCUUCACUGCUAUAGUUGUUCUAAACAAGAUUAGAAACAUAAUACAGAAUAUACCCAUCAAUUUUCUAGUCUCCACACCACCCUCUAGCAUCAGCAUUGGCGGGUCAUUGAAGCGUUAUCGGAGGUAUCUAUCUUCAAUGUCAAAUUAAUUUAUUUAUUCCAUAUAACGCCGUUGUUCGAGCUCUUAAAACCUCUCUAAUAAUAGAGGGAAUGUUGUGCACAAUCAACAAACGAGUGUUCUAAAAAUCCCCGCCUUGGUCCGCCUAGGCGCUAGGCCCCCUUGGUGCCUGACCUCGCCUAGGCGUCAGGCCUCCCUGGCGCCUCACCUAAGCUCAAGGCGGUAAAGAAAUCCUUCCAAAAAAUUAGGCGGGACCUAGGCAGGGUUUAGGCGGGGAGGUUUUUUUUAUUUUAAUAACUACCCAAACCAGAUAUAUUUAUUUUUCUAAUGAUUUACCAUAUUCAUAAUACAGGUUGUAGCAUAUCAAAUCACAACAAAAAGUGAACAAUGUCAAGACAAAAUAGAUAAUUUUACUAUAGUUGUAAUUUUUUGAACUUGUACCAACUUCAAAUUAUAUAAAUGAUGAUACAUUUGUAAUAUUUAGUUUAAUUCAAAAUAAUUCUUUAAUUUAUGUUUAGUUUUUUAAGUUUAAUAUUGAAUUAAAUUCUUGAAAUUUUAAAUUUUAUUAUUUAAUAGCAAUCUUGUUUAUGAAUAAAACUAAUAUGUUAAAAAUAUGUUUGAACUUUGAACAAUUGCAUGUUUGUAUUUGAACUUUGACAUUAACAAUAUGAAUGUGUUUGAACUUUAAGCAAAAGCUUUUAUUAUCUUUAUUAUAGAUUGUUUUACUUUAUAUUAUUGUUUUGUUUGGAUAAAUGUAAGAUAAAAUAUUAAAAUCGGCUUAAAAUAAAAAAUUCCGCCUAGACCCCUCCCAGGCCCCCCGGUCGCCCGCCUCCCACCUAGCGCCUUUUAGAACAUUGCAACAAACCUUGCCAUUUGUGGGAGCCACGUGCACUGGGUAUGAAUUUUUUUCAUUAUUAUCUUAUUAAAUGUAAAUAAAAUGUGUUUCAUCUUAUUAAAUACGCUAAAAUAAUUAAAAUCCACAUGGUAGCUAAUAUAUGGUUAUGUAUUAUGUGUCAACCUUGAAUGAAUACCUUUGCAAAUAGGGUAUUAUUCGAACUAUGAAUUCACUUACCCAAAAAAAGAGAAAAAAGGACAAAAAAGGAAAAAAAGGAAUAAAGGAAUAAAGGAAUAAAGGAAUAAAAGGAAUAAAAGAAAAAAAGAAAAAACAUACUUAAAGGCGCUAUAGUGUUAUAUUGGUGUAAUACCCUAAUUCAUGCAUUAGGCAAGAGAGAUGGUGUAGCUUAGUAUCAAGUACACAACCACAUGAUUUAAAGCCAUGAUCCUGGGACCAAGAGUUUACUAAAAUGAGGACUUUGGAUGUUUAGAAAGAGACUUAUUUUUUAGAUUAAAGACAAAAAAAUUCAAGAAGAAAAGGGAUACAAUAAAAGUGGACAACUAGUAUACAAAACAAACUAAAGUGGAAAGAAUGCAUGCCCUUAACAAAGGGCAGUCCCCAAUCCCUAUGAAUACCAGAACUAGCUACACCUUGGAAUGCUCUUAUAGAGGAUCGUUUCUUAGUGAUACUUGGAGCAUAGUAUUAAUAGUUUAUUGAUUCUAGCAAACAAAGCCAAACAUCACGUGAACUCUGUGAGACUCAGAAAUCAGAAUUUAGAAUAAAUGGAACAAGGUGCCUUAGUUUCGAUGGUUAUUACUUAUAAGUGGCCGCCUGCUUCAAGUUUUCUUGUGUUGAAAAACGAAGCCAACUCUAAUCAGCAUGGAAGAUGAUAUCUGGCGAUGUAUGUUGAGAAAAACUAAAUGUAGUAAUUCAGAAAGGCUACAGACAGCUAAGAGAACAACUUUUAUCAUAACAAGCCAACUCGUUACGAAUACAUAUGUAAUAUUUCUAAUCUAUUAAACACUCAUUGUUUAUCUGUAGGUACCAAAUACAUAAAUUUUAUAUUUAAAAAAAAAAUUAAGACAAAAUAAACAAAAUCUAUUAAUUGAACACAUUAUUUGACUUGAAAUAUUUGCAGGAAAAAUAAAAUAUUUCUGCAUCGGGAUGAAUGAUGAUCAGGUUGACAAUGAAUUAACAAUACUAGCUAUUCUACACCGGUGCCUUUUCUAGCUUUUGAACAGACGUACACGAACUUUAGAAAUUUGAGCAAGUUUUAUAAGACAAAAGGCAAGCUAUUUCAAGAGACUCAAGGGAGCAGAAACUAUGUCACACCAUUUAGCAAUUACUAUCUGUGUUACUCGGACUCACCAUUUAUGGUGGAGUACCCGUGUCGACACGACACGACACGGGUACGGGUGCGGGAUCCGUACGGGAUCCGGCCACAGAAAUCGGAUACGGCUGUUUUUGAAAGUGAUUCAUCGGAGAAAAAGAAGAGCCGAGGAAGGAGGAGGAAGAAGAAAGAGAAAAGACCGAAGAAAAAAGAGCGAUAAACUUACCGUGGUCGGCUUUUUCUUCUUCUCCAACGAGCCUUUUUCUUAUUUUUCUCCAACGAUCUGAUAAAUCGAUUAGAUCUGUGAUUUGAAAUAUCCUUGAAAAAUUACAAUUAGGUACCCUAUAGUUUUAAUAAUUUUUUUAAUUUAGUCCCUAAGGUUUUCUGAAAGUUCAAAAUAACCCUUAAAAAAAUUACAUAUGAGUUCCUGUAAUUUUGUUUUCUUCUAUUUUAACCCCUGAAGUUUCAGUAGUUUCAGUUAUGCCCCUGUUUCUUUAUAUUUUUGGAUCCAUAUCCACGUUUCCUCUAUUUUUUGACUUCACGUGUCCAACACCUAGAUUCGUAUCCGCACUCGACACCCGCACCCGAGUCCGAGUAACACAGAUUACUAUGUUGGAAUAUUCCUUAUUACCAGAAAACAAUAAACAAUUGAAUGAAGCAUUGGACCUUUAGUGGGUAAUGAGAAACAAAGUUACCGUUUGUAUCUCUUUUUGGAACCACAAGGGCAGAGCGCAUUUCUACUUAUUUGCCCGCUCUUAGCCAAGUUUGACUGAGCAACAUCCAUUGGUGUUGAUCCCAUCAGCUUUUGGACCUACAGAACAAAAUUGUCAAAAGUGAGACGAUGAUAAAUCAAGAAUGUUUUCAAUUAUGCAAGGACAUAAUAUAAUGACGAACAAUUGAGACAGUAGUUCUCUACUAUGGCAUCUAAAAUAUCUGGAAAAAGGGGAUGACCGUAAUUUCCAGCCAGAUUGAAUUAACAAUUGGCCACUGAACUAAAUUUUUCAUAACACUUCAGCCCAUGGGAAUAUCUGAUCAUAUGGACCUUCACUCUGCGUAUGAUAAACCAAAAGAAUAAAGGGCCAACAUAAAGAAGGGGUCGGUUAAAACUAAAUAUUAAUGUGACAACAUCUGCUAGUAUUUUGACCUGGGAACUACCCCUUUAGAAUAAAUUGCUGGAGACUGAGAUGGGUUUUCUCCUCAUGAGAAUAUGUAUAUACAUCAUUAACUUUAAGUGUCAUAAUUUACAACCACGCAUGAUUCUUUUAAAGCGCAGUUCAUUCAACCUCAGAGAAAAAAAAAAAUCUAAACACUAAAAAAAUCAGCAUUACCAAAAUAACAAUAAUAAAAUUGUCCCGAAUGUGGACAGCAACUUACUCUUGGUUAGUGGUUACUCGAUCAGCAACAACCCGAAACAGAAGAUUUUGGAAGAAUUAGGGAAGGAAAGUGUGGGGGAGCAUAGCCUGUCCAAAUGACGCACCAAGUAUGGAACAACAUAAACCACAUUUUUUAUACAAAACACGCCGAAAGGAGAAUAUUUUUCUAUUCUAAUAGAAGGCUAAUAAACAUUAAUAAAAAAAAGGAAAAUAUAUUUUCUCCGCGUCCAAACAGAUGUACCCUUUACUCUCAUCUUUAAAACUGAAAACUUGACAACUUCGUUCAAAUUUAGUAACUAAAAUUGGCAUAAGAAAUUUCCUACUCGUUUUAAUAGGAAUAGACAUCAAACAAAUCCCAACAAAGACAAAAGAACAUACUUUUGUUCAACAAAUGCCACUAUAAAUGUGCAACAGAAUUUUUAAGCUUACAAGAUUAGAUUUAACACAAAAACUGUUCAACAAAGCUAAGCCUCUGUGAGUAAGUUACACUUGCAUCAUUCUAAUAUGCACAUAUAGCAAAGAAAACUCAUAUAGUCAUACGCAACAAAAAUACUUGCACAAUAACAGGGCUACCUGGCUGGUUUCCAUUAUGGGAGUAUUUUCACAACCUCAUAUAUUAAACUAAAAUCAUUCUGGAGUAUGUGAAAGAACAUAAUAGUUGAAUGCGAGUAAUACCUCGGCCAUACUCUUUGGCAAUGGCUUCCCUUCCUCUUUUAACUUCUCCAUUUUCUUCUGAGCUUCUUUAGCCCAAGUAAACUUUGCUAAUACAUUUUCAACAUCAGCAAUAGUGCAAUUACAAUGUUUAGCUGCUUCUUGCUUUUGAUAAUUUUGAAGAUUCUGCAACAAGCAAUUGCAUAAGAAUUAAUAAAUAAAGAAAUAAACAAAAUAAGGUAAAAGUAGUGAGCCAAAUGUUAUUAUUUGCCAAUACAGAAACAAUCUAUAGCUACAUUUAUACAAUAAUUGUUUGAUUAGAUUUGUUGGCAAGCGGGAGCUCAGCAGUCAUAAACCAAAAAAUAGACAAUAAACCUGCUUUGCAAGUUUUACUUUGUACAUUUACAGCUGCACUCUUUUACAUUUAGUGCAAAUAAGUAUGCACACACUUAACUAUUUUUUAUAUUGUUAGGAACCGCUAAACUUCUGUUUUCUCUUAACUUAUAGCUUGUCUAAAGAUAAAAGUGUAUCAGGCCUUCAUGUUGCUUAAAAUUCAUUAUUGAAUACUUCCAUACUGCAGAACUAGUCAAAAAAACAUUUUGAAUAGGUCAAAAAUAUCUGACUUUUGUUCUUAAAUUUGCUGCAUUUCUAGCCUCACGAGGUUUACCAGGGAUCUGUAGUUUCAUUCAUAGAUUUUUUAGAACUCUAAGCAUCAUGUAAAUCUAGUUGGGAGAUAUUUUUGUAUAGCCAAUGGGUUUUUUUUGCAAGGGAGGCUUUUUGUUCUCUUUUGCCUCUUUGAGUAUGUGCAUUUUGCAGAUGGGUGCCACACCCUGCAGCAUCGUUGUCACGGCGUCUCCUAGACGACGACUAAGCGUCCUAGCGCUAGAGAAGAACAGAAGAACAAGGCAACGCCUUGAACGCCGAGCCGCCAAGGCUUACCCCUUGGUAGUUGGCCCAAGAUCAAGUCAUUUUGUACUCAUGACUUAUCAUGUACUAGCUAUAUGGUGUAAUUUUUAUUAUAUAUUAAACUUGUAAUGUGUGAUAAUUGUGGAC